rnacentral:lncRNA from 1 species
ACCCGGGAGGCUGCAACCCAUGGAAGCUGUACGCAUGGGGUAGCAGACUAGUGGUUAGAGGAGACCCCUCCCAAGAUACAACGCAGCAGCGGGGCCCAACACCAGGGGAAGCUGUACCCUGGUGGUAAGGACUAGAGGUUAGAGGAGACCCCCCGCACAACAAUAAACAGCAUAUUGACGCUGGGAGAGACCAGAGAUCCUGCUGUCUCCACAGCAUCAUUCCAGGCACAGAACGCCAGAAAAUGGAAUGGUGCUGUUGAAUCAACAGGUUCU